rnacentral:rRNA from 1 species
GACGAACGCUGGCGGCGUGCUUAACACAUGCAAGUCGAGCGGUAAGGCCCUUUCAGGGUACACGAGCGGCGAACGGGUGAGUAACACGUGGGUGACCUGCCCUCAGCUCUGGGGUAAGCCUGGGAAACCGGGUCUAAUACUGGAUAUGACUCCAUGACGCAUGUUGUGGGGUGGAAAGCCUUGUGCGGCUGAGGAUGGGCCCGCGGCCUAUCAGCUUGUUGGUGGGGUGANGGCCUACCAAGGCGACGACGGGUAGCCGGCCUGAGAGGCGACCGGCCACACUGGGACUGAGACACGGCCCAGACUCCUACGGGAGGCAGCAGUGGGGAAUCUUGCGCAAUGGGCGAAAGCCUGACGCAGCGACGCCGCGUGAGGGAUGACGGCCU